rnacentral:rRNA from 1 species
UACGUAGGGAGCGAGCGUUGUCCGGAAUUACUGGGUGUAAAGGGAGCGUAGGCGGGCGAGAAAGUUGAAUGUUAAAUCUACCGGCUUAACUGGUAGCUGCGUUCAAAACUCCUUGUCUUGAGUGAAGUAGAGGCAGGCGGAAUUCCUAGUGUAGCGGUGAAAUGCGUAGAUAUUAGGAGGAACACCAGUGGCGAGGGCGGCCUGCUGGGCUUUAACUGACGCUGAGGCUCGAAAGCGUGGGGAGCAAACAGG